UACGGAGGAUGCGAGCGUUAUCCGGAUUUAUUGGGUUUAAAGGGUGCGUAGGCGGGAUGCCAAGUCAGCGGUAAAAAUGCGGUGCUCAACGCCGUCGAGCCGUUGAAACCGGCGUUCUUGAGUGGGCGAGAAGUAUGCGGAAUGCGUGGUGUAGCGGUGAAAUGCAUAGAUAUCACGCAGAACUCCGAUUGCGAAGGCAGCAUACCGGCGCCCUACUGACGCUGAGGCACGAAAGCGUGGGUAUCGAACAGG
rnacentral:rRNA from 1 species